UCUUCGGGAGGCCAGAGAGCGGGAUGGGGGAUGAGGAAGUAGGGAUCCGGCCCCGGGGCCCUGGCGAGAGGAACCCGGGGACGAGACCCCAACAGCUCCAUCGCACCCCGAGGCUGUGAACGGGUGCAGGUCCAGGACACGGAAAGGGAGUUUCAUCCAGUCACCCGAUCACCAGCCUCCAGUAGAGGUGCUGUUCCGUAGCAAUUCAUCCUGAAGCUCUCAAUUAGAUCUCCAUCCUUCAGUCUUCCACCGAUUUGGUCUCAUUAUGUAUCUCAAGACCGGCUUCAAACACACAGAUCCUCCUGCCUCAGCCUCCCGAGUGCUGGGAUCGCAGGAGUGCGUCACCACGCCCGGCUUCACACAGGAUUCCAGACACCAUGGAGACACACAGUGUGUACAAAAGACACCCACAGACCCACACUUCAGGGGAGCCUUGGGAGAGUUUGGAGAAGAAACGGUGAGGCUUGAUGACCAGCAUGAAGUCCACCUGGAGGAUAGCUGAAGCUGUAUCUCUGUGGGACCCAAGGGCCCCAUUCUUGGGAAUCUACACACCCCAGAGAUGCACAAGGAACACACUGAGGAUGUCUAGACAGACAAGGUGGGAAAUACUUCCAGGCUCACGAGGGGACCGGAGGACAGCAAAGAGGAGCCGUCACACACUUUGAUUAAAAGCACACGGUUAGAAAUAUUUGCACCUAGCACGUAUGGUAGCACACGCCUGAAACCCCAGCACUCUGGGAGGCUGAGGCAGGAGGAUUUCAAGUUCGAGUCCAUCCUGGGAAACUUAACAAGAUGCUGCUUUAAAGUGAAAAAUGGAAGGGGCGGCGGAUGUAGUUCGAUCUGAAUGCUCCGGGUUUGAUCCCCAG